UACGUAGGUCCCGAACGUUGCGCGAAUUUACUGGGCGUAAAGGGUCCGUAGGCGGUUUAGUAAGUGGUUGGUGAAAUUUCACGGCUCAACCGUGAAACUGCCUUUCAAACUGCUAAACUUGAGGCCGGGAGAGGACGGCGGAAUUGCCAGUGUAGGGGUGAAAUGCGUAGAUAUUGGGAGGAACGCCAGUGGCGAAGGCGGCCGACUGGAACUGUCCUGACGCUGAGGGACGAAAGCUAGGGGAGCAAACCGG
rnacentral:rRNA from 1 species